UGAGAAAAUGUCAGGACUGCAGAGCUGGGUGAUGUGCUCCAUCUUCCUGGUUUUAGUGAGAACGCCAGCAGCGCUCUGGAUCAGCUGGAGGAUUUUUUAGACCUGUGAAGACACUGCUGCAGUGACCAAUGCGACUAAACAAACACA